rnacentral:misc_RNA from 1 species
GUCACGCCCGAAGUCAUUACCUCAACCGCAAGGAGGGGGAUGCCUAAGGCAGGGCUAGUGACUGGGGUGAAGUCGUAACAAGGUAGCCGUACCGGAAGGUGUGGCUGGAUCACCUCCUUAAAGGGAGACCUAAUUCAGGUAGGAGACGAAAAAAAAGUAGUCGCUACCAAGAAUCAAUCCCAAAAGGUCGGAGCGAGGCGAAAUUGGCUUUCAAACUAGGUUCUGGGUUCAAACAAGACCUGAAUCAGGAACAAGGGCUAUUAGCUCAGGUGGUUAGAGCGCACCCCUGAUAAGGGUGAGGUCCCUGGUUCGAGUCCAGGAUGGCCCACCUGUACAGGUGGCAAAAAGAAAGAAAAGAAGCGAGGAAUCAGCACCUUAUCUUACUUAUAUAGUAAGAGAGAAUGCUGGCUCUGAGUAAAGAGUCCAGAGGAACCUUGAAAACUGCAUAGAGCUAGGUGAAAAAGCCAAAAAAGAAGACCGCAAGGUCAAGCUA